AUAAUGUUGUCCAUUUUCCCAAUACCAUCCAGCAAUCCAGAUAAUGCCUUUCCUGACUUUACACCUGCUCCUACAAUACCUGUGUAUACCCCUCCAUCCGAAGGUUUGUAUUGAAUCAUUGAGCUAAUAAGGGCGCCAACUCCGCUACCUUUAAGAAGUUCUAUCACACCCUGUGAAUCAGGAGAAGGAAGUCCCCAUUUUGCUGAUGCUGUAAGAGCAAUUCUAGUUGAAGCGCAUACAAAUGGCUCAAGAUCGAUCACAUAAGGCAACUUUGUUACUACGUUACCCCCAUCAUCUAAAAAUGAAAUGCAUGCAAGUCUUUCAUUACCAGAUUCUUCUACAUCAGGUUUUGCUCCUUUAAUCUUUGCUAAAAUAUCAUCUGGAGGAAGUUGUUGAUCGAUACCUACUAUCUGAGUCUGAGUUACUUUAACUUGUUUAGCCUCCUCCUUAUCUUUAUUUCUUUGUCUAACUAAAGGAAUCAAUGCAUUUGGAAUCCAUAUUGAUUCUUUGAAAUAAGCCUUCAUUUCUUCCUUACCUGCAUAAUCUACUAAUGGCAAAUAAAAUGGUAAACCUGUACUCUCAUCUUUUUCUAUUUGAGUUAACAACUUCCCUUCUGGAGUUAUACAAGGUUCUGGAAUCUCCCAUUUCUCCAAAACUGUCUGAGCUUCUUCAUUUAUCAUCAUUGUCACUGACUGCUCUCCCAUAACUGGGAAUCCUCUUGUUAACUUUGGAAUGUUUAUUAUAGGUAACUUCUUUCUUUCUGUCUUACUAAAUGGAGGAAGAGAAAGCAUUGUAGAAACUCCUAGAUAGUCUGGACCUGUAAUUCUUACUUUCAAGUGAGGUAAAAUUGCUGUUGAACUCACUGUCAUACUCUGAAAUGACUCUCCAUGUAGUGCUCUGAUUCUUGAAGUGCAUAAAAGUUGUUGAGUUUGGUUAUUUGAAAAUGGGGUACUUCUAUUUAACCCUCUCAAAUUCUUUGGAUCAAAUAAAAAAGUCUCCAAUUGUCGAUACCUUAAUUGAUCAAUACUUGGACAAAUUGGACUUGCUAAUAAUGGUGAUUC
rnacentral:antisense_RNA from 1 species